ensembl:lncRNA
CCAGAGACACAGCGGACAGAAUAUCAGAAGGAUCACAAUCAAAAACUGCAAAGAAAUCAUGUCAGUCAAUUCCUCUUCCUCGUUUUCUCCUUCCAACUCUUCCUCCAUCAAUGUCAUUGAAUUCCUGCAGAACUGCUACAGAAGUCCAGCCGGCGCCUCCAGCAUGAUCGCUUUCACCGUCUGCAGCCUCCUGCUGGUCCUCCCUCCCUGCGUCUACGUCGUCUACCUGGGACUCAAACAACGGCGCUCCGGCACGGCGGCGAGCCACUCCGACGUCUUCACCUUCCACAUGGUCGCCAUCGAGCUGAUGAAUAUCGUAGGGAACCUUUUCUGCUGUUGUGGCGUCCUCGCUGGUCUCCCAGAAAUGCUGGCCUCCCGUCAACAGUCAUGUCAGCCAACUCUUCCUCCUUCAACUUGUCUGCAGACCUGCAGAUCUGCAUCGACAGCACAUCCUGCGCCUCCGGCAUGAUCGCUUUCACCGUCUGCAGCCUCCUGCUGGUCCUCCCUCCCUGCGUCUACGUCGUCUACCUGGGACUCAAACAACGGCGCUCCGGCACGGCGGCGAGCCACUCCGACGUCUUCACCUACCACGUGGUCGCCAUCGAGCUGAUGAAUAUCGUCGGGAACCUUUUAUGCAGCUGUGCCGUCGUCGGUGGUCCCAUAGAAUUGAUGAUUGCGGGUAUGACCUUUUUUAGCAUGAACAUGUGCGGCCAGCAGCUGUUUCACUCUCUGACCUGUGUGGAGCGCUACCUGGCCGUCGUUCACCCCGUCACCUACCUGGGCCUGAAGAACCAGAAGGGCGUCAGAGUCAGAAACGUCUCCAUCGGAUGUGUUUGGCUGCUGUGCUUCGCAUACAUAAGUACACUAUUUUUGGGGACCUUUUUUUCCUCAUACAUCCUCUCCUUUUGCGUCACAUUGUUUAACUUCGUCCUCAUCUCCUUCUGCAGCCUUUCUGUUCUCUGUGUUCUGAUCGGUCCAGGGCCGGGGACGGGGCCCGGGGGGGGGAGCAGGCAGCGGGUCGACCAAUUAAAGAUGAGAGCGUUCUACACCAUCACGGUCAUACUGGGGGUACUGUUGCUGAAGCUUGGGGGGUCUACAGCUAACUUUGUCAUAUAUUCCUUAAAAGACCUGACGCGGUCUGAUGGUUGGAUUGUGUGGUUGUGUUUGACCUGGUUGUCUCUGCCCAGCAGUCUCCUGCUGCCGCUGCUCUUUCUUCACAGGGACGGAAAACUUGUGUGUCGCAAGACCGUCGAGGACUGAGGACACGGGUCAGAUUAGGUGGUGAUCUUCUUUCGGCUGUGUGUCUUGGUUCUUUGUUGGAAUGUGAUCCUCCUCGUUGGCAAACGUCUUGAUCCAGACAAGCAACAUUUGUUCUAUUGAACAGUCACAGGGGAUUUAAUCAGAAUAAAAUAUGAAACAAGUUAGCAAAAGGCUGGACUAAAGUCUCCUUUACGGCCUCUUUUUGUCUUAAAAUAACAAAUGACCUUCUGAGACUGACAGGUGUGAUUUGAAUGAACACCGGUUUUAAGUUACAGAUCAUGUGAAUCCAGUCUCACCUCCACGUAAAAUACAAAAAUACAAAAACAGGCUCAUUCCCAAUAAUGAAAUACACGAUGCAAGUACAUAUUUAAUAUGAAAGUAUAUUUAAUGUCCUGUAGGCUGGUAUUGUCUUGUGUGCCUGAAGAAAACGUAGUUCCCUGAAAUGUAUUUGCAUGUAUAAUCCUAAAAUAUAGUGGUUGCAGUUUUUAUGUGCAUUAACACAAACAUUCACAAUGUUUGUUUUUUUAAAUGACUGAAUAAAUCAUCAUUAUCGGCUGAAGUGUCUUUGAGCAAAGUAGUGGCGUCGUGUUCUUCUGCAUCUGGGAAGGAAAUUAGAUGCAAAUCAAAAUAAUUUUGAAGUGAAUGAGCGAUUUCCUACUGGGUAGAAAACAUGCAAAACACACACACACACACACACACACACACACACAC